GCCGGGGGCGGUGGCGCAUGCCUGUAGUCCCAGCUACUCGGGAGGCUGAGGUGGGAAGAUGGCUUGAGCCCAGGAGUUCUGGGCUUGUAGUGUGCUAUGCCAAUCGGAUGUCCGCACUAAGUUCGUCAUCAAUAUGGUGACCUCCCGGGAACCGGGGACCACCAGGUUGCCUAAGAAGGGGUGAACCGGCCCAGGUCGGAAAAGGAGCAGGUCAAAACUCCCGUGCUAAUCAGUAGUGGGAUUGCACCUGUGAAUAGCCACUGCACUCCAGCCUGGGCUGGAGAACGAGAACGAGACCCCAUCUCUU
rnacentral:SRP_RNA from 1 species